UUUAAAAAGAGUAACAAUGGAUCAACAGUUUGGAGGGGCAGAUUUUUGUUUUUUUAUUGUCUGUUGUUUUUAAAUAUGCUGAUAUUUCACCAACAGAAAUGGCUCUUAAUUUGGACACCAAAUAUGAUAGACCUGGUACUGAUGUAGGUUGGUUCUGUGUAUUUUGGGCUGAGCAAGAUUUUGUGUCAGAGUUUUGAAAUCAGUUAUUGGUUUAUUUUCCUUUGUGGUUUUGCAGUUGUACAAAUACCUAAUAGUGUAAUAGCUG